CUACAGAGGGUGCGAGCGUUAAUCGGAAUUACUGGGCGUAAAGCGCGCGUAGGCGGCUUAUUAAGUCAGAUGUGAAAUCCCCGGGCUCAACCUGGGAACUGCAUCUGAUACUGGUAAGCUAGAGUUUUGGAGAGGGAAGUAGAAUUUCAGGUGUAGCGGUGAAAUGCAUAGAGAUCUGAAGGAAUACCAGUGGCGAAGGCAACUUCCUGGCCAAAAACUGACGCUGAGGUGCGAAAGCGUGGGUAGCAAACGGGAUUAGAAACCCCAGUAGUCC
rnacentral:rRNA from 1 species